UCCAGACUUGCGACAUCCAGUGUAUCCAGUAGAUAGUCGCCAGAAAGUUACAUCAGGGAAAAACUGCUGAACUUGUGGACUUAAAAUUUUUAAGAUUUUCGAAACAAAACUAAUCGUUUUUUGUUUAUAAUUAACAAGUGCUCCACCCAUUACAUAUAUUCAUAAUUUUGUACUUAUUCAUACGACUAUUGGCUAUUACUGAUUGAAUUAAACAUGAAUUAAAAAAUGAGAACUAAUAAAAGAAAGAAAAAGAGAAAGGUAUAAUCACAGUGAAUAAUCGAACAUCGAGACAGUCACGGAUUACAAUUAUUGGCAUUUCGUACGAUAUACUAUACCAUGCGGAUUGUUAGACAAAUAGUUGUUUACGUGUGCAUUGGUUUUGGGUACGCUCAAAUUAGUAAUGAUUGUGGGCUACAAAGAUUUCGAUGCCAUAAUGGACAAUGUAUAACUGGCAAAUUACUAUGGAUCGGCAGAGCAGAUUGCA